AUGGCAGGAGUCAGAAUGACCUUUGAUGUGGAUGGUUGGCAGACACCCAGCAAGAGACCCCUCCUCGCCCCCAGAGACUUCCCCAUGGAGCUGCAUCUCCCAGCAGAGGAAAGCCCAAGCUACUUCUCCUGCCCAUGGAAUCAUGAUGUGACUGGACUUCCUUCUCAGACUUCCCAUCCUUCUUGGCUCUCAUCAUUGUGCUCCAGCAUCGUGGGGCUCCCCCAGCGUGUCCCAUCAGAGAUGUUCCCUCUGCCACUCUGCCCUCCCCCAGCAUCCCCACCUCCUGGAGAUAACUCAUCCCGAGAAAUAAUGUGCGAUUGACUCCUAAGAGGAGAAUGGCUCCAGAAUCUUAUCUAAAUGUGUAGCAAAUGAAGGUAAUUUUGAAACUUAAUUCACCAACUCAUCCAUUUACUUGUUGAGUACCUACCAGGUGUUGGGCUUCUAAGCUGGUCAUUAGGUGAAGUAAUAGUGGAAGCUCUGGUGACUGAUUCAGCAUUUUGGAAGAGUGUAAAGACGAGUUUGUGAGAGAAUUUCAGCACUGUUUUGUGGGGAGGGGGGUUCCCAGCUGUCGAUAUUGAUCCUCAUGUCUGUUU
rnacentral:lncRNA from 1 species